rnacentral:rRNA from 1 species
CGGUCGGCGUAGCCUAAUACACUGCAAUGGGACGCAAGGAAAACACACUGUGCUUUGCACACCGUGUUUUCUUUCGAGUCGCGAACGGGGUGAGUAAACGCGUAGGGUAAACCUUGACCUAUUAGUCGGGGGAGUAACUAAUUGGUAAACGAUAGCUAAUACCGCAUAAUAUUAAUUAUUGCAUGAUAAUUGAUUGAAAGAUGCAAGCGCAUCACUAGUAGAUGGACCUGGCGUUGUAUUAGCUAGUUGGUAAGGUAAGAGCUUACCAAGGCGACGAUACAUAGCCGACCUGAGAGGGUGAUCGGCCACACUGGGACUGAGACACGGCCCAGACUCCUACGGGAGGCAGCAGUAGGGAAUCUUCGGCAAUGGACGAAAGUCUGACCGAGCAACGCCGCGUGAGUGAAGAAGGUCUUCGGAUCGUAAAGCUCUGUUGUAAGUCAAGAACGUGUGUGAGAGUGGAAAGUUCACACAGUGACGGUAGCUUACCAGAAAGGGACGGCUAACUACGUG